GUAGGUGGCGAGCGUUAUCCGGAAUUAUUGGGCGUAAAGAGGGAGCAGGCUGCUGAACAGGUCUGUGGUGAAAGCCCGAAGCUAAACUUCGGUAAGCCAUGGAAACCGGACAGCUAGAGUGCGUCAGAGGAACGUGGAAUUCCAUGUGUAGCGGUGAAAUGCGUAGAUAUAUGGAGGAACACCAGUGGCGAAGGCGACGUUCUGGGGCGCAACUGACGCUCAUUCCCGAAAGCGUGGGGAGCAAA
rnacentral:rRNA from 1 species